GGAGAGGUGACGGAGUGGCCGAACGUGCCGGUCUCGAAAACCGGUGUCCGGGUAACUGGACCGAGGGUUCAAAUCCCUCCCUCUCCGCCA
rnacentral:tRNA from 1 species